AUUGAACGCCAGCGGCAGGCCUAACACAUGAAAGUCGAGCGAGCGGCGGACGGGAGAGUAAUGUAUGGGGACUGCCCGCUAGAGGGGGAUAACUACUGGAAACGGUCGCUAAUACCGCAUACUAUCGGAUAACCCAUAUGGGAUUAGCUAGUCGGUGAGGUAAUGGCUCACCAAGGCGACGAUCCCUAGCUGGUCUGAGAGGAUGCUGAGCCACCGAGGGAAGUGAACACGGCCCAGACUCCUGCGGAGGCAGCAGUGGGGAAUAUUGCACAAUGGGCGCAAGCCUGAUGAAGCCAUGCCGCGUGUAUGUGGAAGGCCCGAGGGUUGUGAAGUACAUUCAGUCGGGAGGCGUUACCGACAGAAGAGGCACCGGCGAACUCCGUGCCAGCAGCCGCGGUAAUAC
rnacentral:rRNA from 1 species